AACGUAGGACACAAGCGUUAUCCGGAGUUACUGGGCGUAAAGGGCGCGUAGGCGGCUUGGCAAGUGGAUGGUGAAAUCCCUCGGCUUAACCGAGGAACUGCCGUCCAAACUGCUUCGCUUGAGACCGGGAGAGGUGAGUGGAAUUCCCAGUGUAGCGGUGAAAUGCGUAGAUAUUGGGAGGAACACCAGUGGCGAAGGCGGCUCACUGGACCGGUACUGACGCUGAUGCGCGAAAGCGUGGGGAGCAAACAGG
rnacentral:rRNA from 1 species